rnacentral:lncRNA from 1 species
AAUAAGACAACGAUUAUACCGUCCCCUAUUUAUACUUCACAAAUUCGAAAACUCCACCCCACCUUUCCUCCACUAUCUGCUUCGAGUAAACCCUAAUUUGUUAUCCAAUUUGCUUCUAUCUCACAUAUUGCCAAUCGCUAUAGCCGGCGACUCCCUCUCCUCUCUUAAUCUCUCACUUCCUUCCCCUCUUCUCGACAUCUCUUCGAUAAAGCUGGCAAGAAUUUCGCUAAUCUUCGUCGUGCCUUUGAUAUAUGCGGAUCAAUUCACCUAGGUACUCUCUAUUUCUCGCUCCUUUUUACUUAUGUAUGUAUGCAUUUAUGUGGAUAUACGGUUACUUUAUUUUUUUCACUAUGCCUCAUUAUGUAGUUGUUGGAACUUCUUUCGGAGAUUUUAAAUAUCUUGUGUUGUUAGGAACAAAUUAUUUUGUAAUUGAAAUUUUCUAGAUUUUUUUUUGGUUUGGUUAGAACUUAUCCAUCAGUUUAUGGUUAAGAGAAGUGAGAAUCCUUAGGCUGUGUGUAAUUUGAACACGGAACUGUUGAUUCCAAUUAAAAUAAGCAAAAAAGAGGUUGUGAAAUGAAAAAGAUAUAAAGAAAAAGAUUCAAACUUUGAAUAUUUGAUGAUACUUGUUUAAAAGAACUAGCCCUGAUUUGAAAUGUGAAAAGUGAGAACUUGUGUGUUGCUUAUGUGCUGCUCAGACGGAAUCAUUUCUAUUAAUUUUGCAAGAUGAAAAGUAAAAUUAAUAACUUUGUGUUUGAAGUUGGCACUUAUUUUUAAGAUUGACCACUAGAAGUUGAAUUUGACAUUUUUUAUAAGGAUUAUUGAUUGCAUUUCUAUUAUUGGGCAUUUGAAGAUGUAUUAGCAGGACGGAACAGAAUAUGUAUAGAGGAUUAUAUAGAGAUCUUAAUUGAUUUGGGCUUGAGAAUUAGUCAACUGGUUAUAUCAAGAGCCGUGUGAGGAAUAAUUUUCAUGGUCAUCUACUUCUGCCAUGUAUUAUUAUGUGGGUUAAGGAACUUGAAGGAUUGAAUAUGCUGCGUGAACUAAUUUUAGUAUCAUUUACUAGAAUUUCCCUUGUUAAAGAAUAGUCCAGACUAUAUAUCUACGGUAGGAAAAGAAAAGGAAAACAGAAAGUGUUAGCUCUUUCUCGCUCUCUCGAUUCAUUAUCGCUAUUGAGAGGGGGGUUUGAUAAGACGUGGAGGAGUAUACUUAUACCACAGAUUAUGAAAUAUAUUGACAUUUUUAUAGGUUGUACGAUUUUGAAAAAGAUGAUUCUUACAGAUGGUUAUGUCUAAAAGUGGCAAUAUUGUCACAAGUGACCACUCACUAUUUAGUAAGGGAUUUUUAUCAGAUGAAGGCCUGCAACAUAUGUUGAAUUUUUGUCAUUAGUGGUCCUUUUUGUUUUGAUUUGGUUAUUGAUGCUAAUUGCAGUAUAUUAGCUGGUGUAUGUAUUGUUGGGAUCUUUUAGGUGAUAUCCAUGGCUUUGCUAUCUUGAUUUCUUGGAUUUUUACUCUAUUGGUGAUGAUGUUAAUAUCUAAUCUGAUAGCUCUCUAGCUUGUAGAUAAUGUUGUAGAUACAGCUCGGGCGCUUUGGACAUACGAGGCUGCAAAUUGUCUUGAGGAUGCUUCGUGAGUCUCAUUUGUGUUUGUGCUCCAAGGUAAAUACGUUCUCUUUCCUCUUUUAUGUCUUCCUUUUUUUGUUGUUUAUGUCCUGCGUACACUUUUAAUCUUAAGUAUGCGUGGGUCCGAUUAAAGUGUAAUACUAUGUAUAUUGUUCCUUCUUCUAUGAAGAAGAUUAUGAUUUCUCAUACAUCAUAUGAGGUCACAAAGUAGUCUAAUGAUGAUAUCCCUUUUAUCUAAUAUUCAAUGUUACUUUUUAGCAAAUAUUGGUCUCUCCACAAAAUUAUGUAAUGUUGUCUUUCAACUUAUAUCUUUUGGGAGAAAAGGUGUAGUUUGUUUGUAAAACUACUUGCAUUGCAUGAAUGCAAAUGUUAGGCGGUAAAAAAGGUGUGCCUAUAACACGUUCAGGACAACAGAACAUAAUUUUUUGUCAAGCAGAUAAAAAAGGUGUGCCUAUAACACAUUUCAAAGGGAGAGUGCUCUCACAAUAAGAGACUUUGGUCCUACCUCAAAAGAAGGUUAGCAAAUUAAACUUCGAGUAUUUCUGUUUAGAGUAAUAUUCGGAGGUUUGUGCUAAUAGUCUUAAUGCAAGCUACUAAUUGAUUAACCUGUCGUAUAUAACUUUUUCUUCGUGAACUUUUUUGCUGUUAAUUACUGAAUUCUCAGGGAUUUUACCUGAAGAGGUUAAAUAUUUAAAGGACUCCUACAAAUCUAUUUAUUAUUAAAAAUUAUGGUAAAUUUACCCCUAUGAUUGCUUAGAUGUGCAGAUACGAAUAUACUUUUGAUCAUGUUUCUUUAUCCUCUUCAGCUUUGGAUGGUACUGCCCCUAUUCAUGUGACUCUCAAGCUACUCAAGAUCUUACUUGAUAAGAGGCAUGUCAUAUAUGUCUGGCCUUAUGUUUCAAUUACCUUAUAUUUUGGCGAAUUAUCACUGUACAAAUCACAAAUAUAUUCGAUUAACACCAGGAGUUCUUCGGCAUUUUUGCUCUGCUGCUAAAUUUUUUUUUUAUGUUUUCAGUUACAACACUUAGUUCUUGGUAAGAAAAUUCUUUUAUGUUUUCAGUUACAACACUUAGUUAUAACACCUGAUGCUUUAUAUGGAGAUUGUUGAUGCUAUGAUGCUCGAGAAUUGUAACUAGUAUGUAUAUAUAUACACAUAUAUGUUUGUAUCUUGAUCCAUGUUUGUAUCUUGAUCCUUUUGAGUAUCUUAUUGCUUUUUGUUUCGAUUUAUUUUGUAGGCACUGGAUGUAGCAAAAUUGUAUCAUCACUUGACAACCCAAGAAGUACACCACAUAGAAAUAACAAAGAACAAGUUUAGGAUUUGCGAGAAUUAUUUUCCUCAUGGAAUGUAAAAUAUUACUCCUUGAAAUUUAGUUACAUUUUAUGAUGUAAUUUUAAAAUGCUUAUUCUUUUAA